rnacentral:rRNA from 1 species
GACGAACGCUGGCGGCGUGCCUAAUACAUGCAAGUUGAGCGCUGAAGGUUGGUACUUGUACCAACUGGAUGAGCAGCGCACGGGUGAGUAACGCGUGGGGAAUCUGCCUUUGAGCGGGGGACAACAUUUGGAAACGAAUGCUAAUACCGCAUAAAAACUUUAAACACAAGUUUUAAGUUUGAAAGAUGCAAUUGCAUCACUCAAAGAUGAUCCCGCGUUGUAUUAGCUAGUUGGUGAGGUAAAGGCUCACCAAGGCGAUGAUACAUAGCCGACCUGAGAGGGUGAUCGGCCACAGUGGGACUGAGACACGGCCCAAACUCCUACGGGAGGCAGCAGGAGGGCAUCGUCGGCAAUGGACGAAAGUCUGACCGAGCAACGCCGCGGGAGUGAAGAAGGUUGUCGGAUCGUAAAACUCGGUUGGUAGAGAAGAACGUUGGUGAGAGUGGAAAGCUCAUCAAGUGACGGUAACUACCCAGAAAGGGACGGCUAACUACGUG